CUCCGCCUCAGCCCACAGAGUCAGAGGGAAACAGAUAAGUCACAUGUAGCUUACUACUUCACAGCACAAACUUAUUCUUAUCCCGAGACGAUGGACUACACGGCGAUUCAACUCUGGAAGUAAAAACGCUGAAAGGAAGACGGCUUGAGUGAAACAAGGUCGGAUUGCUCUUAUCAGGAAGGCCACAAAAGUUGUUGCCAUCAGAAAUGCCCAUCCACAGGCCUGAGGAAACAAAGAGAAAAUGUUUCUAUAUCAUCACUUGUCAAGCUCAGGAAACAUAAUUGUGACUAACGUUAGCUGGUGAGCCAUAAAAAAAUCGAGCUUGGUUUGACCAGUUACCAGUUGCCAAAACACAUAAGCUGGUAGACCAUCUUUGCCAGCUGCACUUACCAGCUGGCAAAACUGGCCUACUAAUCUGACCAGCUUGGCCUGUGUUUGGCUGCUGGUAGUUGGUCAGACCAAGCAGGAUUUUUCAGCAGGAGAUAUCCUUCAGUCCUGGUUACGUGUUCUUUUGUGGUCAGGUAAAACAUGGGUGCCGGUGGAGCGCAUGGUGGAAGUCCAUGUUCCUACAUUCAUACGUUAUGUUAGAUGCCAGACUCUCCUAGGUUGAAGGUACUUCAUAAAAAAUCAUAACGAAAUGAAUUUUUUAAAAAAUAUGAAAAUGAAUCAAGACAGAUCCAAAUAAACAAUAAAGUUCCAAUGAACAGUAAAGCUACACGUUCUCUUCCUCUAACUUGUUCAGUACUCGUAAUACAGAUUAAAUACGUGUGGGCAGAUGAUGUAAACUAUGGAUCUGGUCCAAUGUUAUUUUGGAACAAAGAGCAAGCUGAAUUUUCUCAACAUGAAUGUUGUGUGUAGUUUGUUAUCAGAUUGUCUAGAUGUAUAUCACACAUCUGAUGAACAAAGAUUUCCUCUCCCGCGCUGUAAUGAUGGCUGGAAACUAGGACUUAAUGUCAUAUACUGUAGAAAGGUCAUAUAGAACAUGGAGAAAUCUCAUUUAGCGCUUUGGGAGUGAAGUCACCUUUCACUUUGCUUUUUAUUCUGAUCACAACCAGACAGUUAUAUUGUUUCUGAGUUUAGUCUUUGUUUAGACUUUGUUGAUGCUGAAGAAGCAAAAGUCUAAGGAUCCCUUAACCUUCAGAUUAACGAUUUGCAAUUUCUGCACACAAUGCUUGAAAAGAAACACGUAUAACGAAGUUGAAACGGUAGAAAGGAGGUCUAUGAAUUAGUUAAUGGGCUAUUAAUCGCUAUUAAAGUAGUGCUUAAACAGAUACAUUGCAGACAAAUAUAGAUAUAGACCGUUUUAUUUUGUACAUGCAUAUGAACUUAAUCUUCACCUAUCAUCAUUCCCUGUUAACCAAAUCUGUCACCACCUAAUGAAACAGUUUAAGACACUAACCAAAGUAAGUAUACAAACUGAAGCUAUGAUAAAAGAACAAAAACAACUAACCUUUCUUAAAAAAAUUCCUAAAUCCUCUGACCAAGUAUACGGCUGUGCCAUCUGUCUAUUAAAUAAAUGCCAGUCCUUUAUGCUAAAAAAGAAGGAUCAAAAUAUUCUGCCAGUAGUUUGUACUGUGACUCAAAAAGUUGUCUUUCAUCUGACCUCUGAAAGCUAACUACUGUCCCAACUGCUGCUAACUACUGUCCCAACUACCGUACAAUAAUGAUAAUGCUCUUACACUUAAGAGGGCUGAUUGGAAGACCUUGUUAAAUAAUAUUAUGUUUCUUCCUUAUAAUGUCUUAUAUUUGAUAAAAUAUAUUCUUGUACAUCUCAGAUUACUUUUUGCCUUUUCUUAUAUGUUGACAUGUUAGACGUGUCAAUGGGCAAAGCUGGUGCGAAAGUGAUCCUGCACAAGGAUAUGCCUUUGUAACUGUAAGUGACUAGUCAACUUAAUCCUUCACAUGGUAUUCAUAAGGUGCCAUAGGUUUCUGCUACUCUAUGGAUCACACUGAAGUUUGAACAAAAUGGUUUGACUUAAUACCUGCAGCAGUAGUGUACAAGUCAUUUCUUCCUAAUUUGUUUAUUAACUUUUAUUGCAUGCCUAAAUGGAAUAAAAGUUGUUUGCCAGAUUCAGAUGCUCCUAAACAAAUUGUUAUAAAGUAUGAGUUGGUAACUUAUCAACAAAGGCUGUACUAUCGUUUCUAAUAUGAUGCCUUUAAAAUGGAAAAAUAUUUUCACCGAUAUAUUUCAGAGAAUUUUUUUACCCUAGUUUACACUAAAUGUCUAAUAUUCUGUUCUGUUGGAAAUAUGCCUCAACUGUUAAAAUAUUUUGAAACCUUUACAAAUAACUCUCCUGUUUCUAUACCUUUGGCUUAUAGUGUAUAUGACUGCUCACUGUCAUAAACCCAUACAAGGAAAUAAACAGUAAUCAUUUUGACUCCAGAUCAGGAGUGGGUAAAGACAUACUGGUGAUCUGAUCUAUAUUAUAUAUACGUACUUUAGAUAAUGCCUCUCUGAGGGCCAUGUUGGAAUGUUCCCAAGUCAAAGUACUCUAGAACUCCUCAGCAUUAGAUCACCUCAUUAUAUUCUUUCCAUACCAUCAUGCUCUUUGCCUGACAAAGCAAUUCACAUUCUAUGUCAAAACAUAUUUGACAGUUGGGGUCUAAUUCUAAAAUCACCAGAUACCAAAUGUACAACAGUUUUGUCUUUCUGCCAUCACAAAAUAAAAAUGUUUA